rnacentral:lncRNA from 1 species
CCUUUGCAGCGCUUGCAUCCUAGUGUGAGGAGUGGACAGGAUUGCUCACUCUAAGGAGGAUGAGGCCGUGCUAUGUUCUCUAGAGUUGAACAGCUGUGGGACCAGGAAAGGGGGCUGAGAUUCGGUCCUGACUGGGGGAUUCCUGGAGUCUUCACGGAGGAAGGGACACUCCUGUUUGGGAGCUGAUGCUUACCUGGGAGAGGUGAUGAUUUAACUGGGACUUGAAGAAUGCUUAAGCUUGUUCUUACAAUUUCUGUCAGAAAGCUGCAGCCAAAAUUGUUAGUAUCCCCAGGUGGCAGUGGUCCUUCUAGAACCACACGAAACUUGGCACAGUGUGGAGGCACCCUCCCAAGCCCCUGAGCCACUGCGAUGUAGUGGCUGGGAACACUGACCCUGGAGCCAGACUGCCCUUAUGGAAUGUCUGUGUGACCUCGAGUAGUUUAUUCAGCUUCUCUGUGCCUCAAUGUCCUCACCUGUAAAAUGUGGGUAAGUGAUAGGACCUAUUUUCGGUCUCCUCUGGAAUUCUGACAGGGCUGGACAUUUCCACAGGUUUAUGGGUAACCUAACAAAACUCUUUUCACAGACUCACUAAGGGAGCCCCAAGGAAAGAACUUCGGUGAGCAAGACUUGAGGAAGAGGGCGUUAGGCCGCUGUGGUCCAGGACACGUCAGUUACAUGUGAAUCCCUUCUGGCAAUUCAGCAAUAGCCAUUGUAACUUUCAGGUCAGAAAAGUUUUUUUUUUUUUUUUUUUUUGUCUUUUUGCCAUUUCUAGGACCGCUCCCUCGGCAUAUGGAGGUUCCCAGGCUAAGGGUCAAAUCGGAGCUGUAACUGCUGGCCUAAACCAGAGCCAUAGCAAUGCAGGAUCCGAGCCACGUCUGCAACCUACACCGCAGUUCAUGGCAACGCCGGAUCCGUAACCCACUGAGCCAGGCCAGGGAUUGAACCUGCAACCUCAUAGUUUCUAGUCGGAUUUUUAACCACUGAGCCAUGACGGGAACUCCAGGUCAGAAAAGUUUUUAAAAAGUUCUGCCCAUGCCUAAGAAAAUAAUAUAUCUUGUGAGUAGUUAAAAUUAGAUUAAAAUUACCCUUAGCUUAUCAUGCAGUGAUAACUACU